rnacentral:rRNA from 1 species
UACGAGUGCCCCAAGCGUUAUCCGGAAUUAUUGGGCGUAAAGGGUGUGUAGGCGGUUGUGUUAGUCUUCUGUUAAAUUCUUCGGCUUAACCGGGGGCAUGCAGGGGAAACGGCACAACUAGAGGAUGCGAGAGGUGAAUGGAACUCAUGGAGUAGGGGUGAAAUCCGUUGAUAUCAUGGGGAACACCGAAUGCGAAGGCAAUUCACUGGCGCACUCCUGACGCUGAAACACGAAAGCGUAGGUAGCGAAUGGG